AACUUAAACCUAUACUGCAUAGAAAACAUAUUUUGAUUGAUAAAUUUUUAUUCAUUUAUAACAGUAUCUGCAAAUAACUGUUUUGACCCAGGUUAGCUAAAAUCAAUAACGUCGUUAAAGAAGAAUUGGACGCGAUAUUACGAAGUAAAAUGAAAUCACAUCAAAAAGCGAUCAGAAAUAAAGUAAUAUUAGAGGAAAUUUCGCGACAAGUUACAGUGUGGAUUGAUACAGUAUUGGAUGAAUCCGAGUGCAAAUUAUUAGAAGAAAAUCUUUUAGACCUAGAGGAAGAGGAAGGACCUGUAUUAGAUUUAAUUGACGACUUAGUGGACGAAGUUCUGAUCACAUGUGUGCCGCCUAUAGUUGAGCCUGAGGAAAAAAUAUCCGAAGAUGACUUAUCAUCACAUUUAUCAAAGAAUAAAAGUACCGAAGAACUCAGUAAUAAUACAACAGAAAUAAAUAUUAACGAGUUAAUUGUUGAUAUCUACACUAAUGUAUUAGAAGACGCAGAACAGCAAAUUCUAGAAAACCAUGAUUAUUUACUAUCUGGGGAAAUCGCAAAUGAUGAGCAAUCGGUAGACCUGCUUAGUAUUCGUAGUGACAGUGAUCAUGUUUUAGAUAACGUUAGAGGAGAACUAAAUAAGCUAGUAGAUCAAAUUAUAGAUAACUUAAUUGCUGACAGUACGUUUAAAAAUGAAACAUACAUCGCUGAUGAAGAAGCGAUAGAAACGAUUUCACAACUUGAAGAAAAUACUAACAAUAAACUGCAAGUUACUGAAGAUUCUGGAUCACAAGAAAAUAAUGUCAAUGGAGACGAAGACUUAAAUAUAACUGAACAAUCAGAAAUAUCCGAUGUAGAUAUGGAAGACAAAGGAGAUGACCGAAUAAUUAAUGAAUUAGACCAUGAAACAAUUGAAAACGACGUCGAUAAAGGAGACGACCCAAAAAUUAAUGAAUUACAGAAUGAAUUAAUUAAAAACGAAGGCAUAAUUAAACAAAUAAUUAAUGAUUUAUUAAAUACUGGUGUUUUUGGUUCUGAGCCAAGUAUAUUAGAUGAUAAUUAUACGAAACCAAAUGAUACAGAGGUCGCUAAGCAAGAAUCUCUAGGAAUUGAAAAUCAAUUGAAUAACGAAAAAGAGGACUUACAAAAUGAAGCAGUAGUAAAUGAUAACGAAAGUAAACAGGAACGACAGGACUUUACCCAAAUCGAAGACGAGGAAUACGAGGAAAACGGAGAUUUAAGUUUAUCAGAUAAAAUCAAUGAAGGAGAGCUAAUCGUUCAAGAUCUUCUACUAACAAUUUUAGAAAACUUUGCCCUCGAAUCUACGCUUGAUGAAAGAGAAACAAACGAAGAAAACAAAAAAGUAAAAUUUUCAGCUAUUGAUAUGGGUAAUAAAGUUUAAAUAUCAUCGUCAAGAUUUUUUUUAUUCAGGAUGCUUUAGAAGCUAAGUAGAAGGAAUAAAAAGUAGCCAGCAGUUGAUACUACAAAAACCGUCAAGUGAUUACUUAAACUUUAACAUCGACUUCGCUCCACCAAAUGAAAAUUUACUAUCAAAUGCUGAUGAAUCGUGGCCACAAAACAUUGCCCUACCUAUAGUUAAGGUAACUGCAAGUGUAAAUAAAUCAGUUACAUCGUUAGGUAAAAUUUUUGAAUUAGAUGAAAAACGGAUAUCGUCUGAAAGUAGCUAUGUAUCCUCACAAAAUUCAGAAAUGCUAAUAAAUGUACAACUUACUUCGAUGUCAAUGGGUAACAGCAAUAUCAACGAUAUGUUACUUGCACAAUUUCAGAAUGAAAGUAAGAUAGUAGGAACAGAAGAAAAAAAGAAAAAUGAUAAACCACAGCGUAAAGUAUUUGAAGAGAAGAAACAAAUUAAAAAAGAAAGAAAAGUUAGCGAAACGAAAUAUGAUAUGAAACCACGAGUCAUUGAUAAAAAUAAAUUGAAAGACCAAAAGGGGAAAAUCCCUAAUAAACCUGUAAAUGUUGAUAAAAAACCUGAAAAGAUAAUUGUUAAGACAAUCAAAGACAAAGAAAAACCAAGAAAAGAUAAUAGGUUGUUGAAGAAGGAUAAUACACCGAAUAAAACGGAGAGAAAAAAAGUUUCCGACAAAAGAAAUAUUGCGAAGAACAAAAUUAAUGAAAAUAAAACUGGUAUUAAACAAUUGAAACCUGAAGAUAGUGUUAAAAAAGCGGAAUUAAUUACUGAACCUUUUGACGUAAUUUCAAAGGAAGACAGAGGCGAUGGUCUUAAAAACGAACAAAGACCAGACGCGUACUCAUGUGAAAAAUUCUUCUCGUCGGAACAAAAAACAAAAUUAAACCAGAAUGGUAUACUAAAAAUAGAUGCAUACGAAAUUUUAAAAUGGUGCAAAGGUUUAGAAAAUGUUAUCGAAAAUUUAGAAACAUGGAGCUCUUGGAUUAAUUCUACAUGCAAAUGUAUUACAUAUCUCAAGCAAAGAGGAAGUUACAAUAGUUUAAAAUCAAUCGAAAAGAAUAGAAUGAAAUGGAAAAUGUUGCACAGAAAUAUCAAACAAGACACAAUUUUAUGGAGGGAUAUGAAACAGCGUAAUCUGGAUGGAUUAAAAAGUUAUAAAAAGUAUUAUCAUGAUAUUAAGGUUAGAAAUUGUUUAAUCUAUGAUAAAGGGUUACUCAUUAUCUUUAUAUCCCAAGUCUAGGGCCAUAAGAUUAGCAGUUCUUAACUAUGUAAUUUGAUCCAAGAUAAAAGAUGAUCUUAUUUAGUGAUAUUUUGUGGCUCUAAUUUUAGUGGCAGUUCUAAAUGUUUAUAAUUCUCUGUCCGAUUUUGAAUUAACAUUAUUUGUUUUAGAAUGGUGCAACAAAACAUCAAGUGUGUGACUGCUGUAAUAAUUGUCAAACAAAAAAAUAAUAAACAAAUAAGAAUUUA